UCUCUGCUAGCUGAGUUGAUAAAGAAUCCGCCUGCAAUGUGGAAGACCUGGGUUUGAUCCCUGGGUUGGGAA
rnacentral:tRNA from 1 species